GUAGGCAAUGUAAUUUACAGUCUUUAAACUGAUACGGGGCCUGGCAUUAUUGUGUAUUUCUGCACAGAGGAAUUCAGUUCCACACCUUCAUCUGCACUUCUGUGUCAGAUGCCUUUCUGUCAGACUGCCCCAUUGCUGCCACCUUUUGCAUGGCAACAAAAUGUAACGGAAUAUUGGUGGUUGAACCUUUACUGUUAUACCACCAACAUCUGCCACUGAUGUUAUGGGCUAACAUAAUGAAAUAGGAGGUAUUAUUUUCAGAGCAGACCUCGUAUGUCUUGCUAGUGGAUUCCUGGUUUGUGAAUCCCAGGAGAUAAAUUCCACACUUCUCAAAUCAGGAAGGGUCACGGUGGUGGCAUAAGGAUGUGCAGCCACAUUAAUGUUCAGAUGAUUUCAGGUAGCAAAAGUAAUUUCUUGCUGUGAAUAAGGGAACACAAAGACACUCAAGUGGCUGAUUUUAUGUCUUGGUCUGAAACAGUGAAAGCAUGCUCACUGCCUUGUAGUGCCUGUCCUCUGUGCAUGUAGCAGAUUCAUUGAUGUCUUGUUUAGCCCUGGCUAGAAACGAAUGGUCAUGCUUAGUAUUUUUUGGCCAUUAAUAUCUUAGAAGGCUUAUUCCUAUUGUGUUUGAAGCCUCCUUGCAGGCUUAUACUGUAUAGACAAGCUUGACUUUCAGAGUAAUUCUCCCACCAACCCUAAGGGGUAUUUUAGAGAUAACCUUAAAGGGUGGGCAAAAUGUGUCUUCAUCGCAUUCUUUGGCUUAGGCAGCAGUAAUCUUCCUAAAUUUGCCUUACGGCAUCUAUUUGCUCUUAUUGUUCAAGGCCAAGCAGUCUGUAGGUUUCACUUUCUGUCAUUUUUCAUUAUAAUUUCAAUCGGCUGCCAGUUCUUUUCCAAGUAUCAGUCUGCUCAGGAAAAAGUCAAACUACACUUAUUAAUGUUGAUACCUAAACAGAAAAAAACAUUCUUUUACGGUUACCCCAGCCAAGCAGUAACACUUCCUUGUAUGAGGAAUAAUAAAUCAGUAAUAACGAACACUUCCCAGUUGUUUAAUAAGGACUUAAACACACAAGGUUGUUAAUGCCAUUCAGUGAAGUCUCUGCAUUUCUCAAUCUAGCAUUGUUAAUUUAGCCAUUAGAGGCAAGAACUAGUGCUGUUUGUCUGCAUCCUACCUGAUGUUCAAGUUUUAUGUAUGCUGAGUAAAAUGCUAUUUGGAGUCUGUCUACCUACUGCUACUGGCGUUGGCAAAGUCCUUUGAUGGUAAAACCUGAUCAGGGACUGUUGUGUACUUUAGCAGCUGAUUUCUAAUGAAUUCAUAUAAUGUGCCCAUGCCAAUUGGAUUUCACAGUGGCUACAGAACACAUUCCAGAGAACUGUAAAUGUAUAUGUGCUGUUUGAAAGACAAACAUAAGGCAAAAUUUGUAAAUUUACAAGGAACAAGAAGAGUUCUGGCAAAAAAAAAAAAAAAAAAAAAAAAAAAAUCAGGAAAAUUAUAUAUGUGAUGUAUAUGUGUUAACAAGUACAGCACAUAAAAAUCAGAUCUAUGGAAUGAAGCAAUUAGUACAAAGUAACUUAGUUCCGCACUGCACAAAUUUUAAGAGAUUCUACUCUGGGCUAGCUCUUGUCUGUGCAAUGGACUAAUGGAGCUGCUUAGAGUAAACUGUUUAUUCACCCAAAUCAGUUUGUAUACUCUGACACAGUUCUGUGAUGUGAAUGAAAGUACGUUAAGUGGAAGCUGUAAGUUCCUCACUUAAAAACUACAGUAUUUGUUUAAACUAGAAAGCUAACAUAGAUGCAUCCUUGUAGAGGGAAAAAGACUUCACUAGUUUGUAAAUGCCUCAAAAUAAAACUUAUUUGCAUAUUGAGAAAUAAUUAACUUCGGUUACAAAAUGACCCCCACUGGAGUAAUAGUUUUGUAAAUGCACAUUCUCUGUCAUGAUAAAUGUCUGUAUCAGAACUUAAUUCAGUAAUGUUAUCUAAUUUAAACUGAGGAUCUGAUCCAUUGACUUUAGAAUCCACCGUGAGGUUCCAUAGGUUGACAGUCACAGAGGAUAUAUAAUAAAGAAACUAAUCCAUGGCUUACUUUUUAAUUGUUUUUUUUACAUUCAUUGCCUAUAUCAGUGUUGGUGUAACAAAAAAUUGUGUUUUGUCUUAGACCAGCAAAUCAUCAUGAAAUCUGGGCUGCUUAUAUUUGCUGCUUGUAUAUGUGGGUUAGAGAAUCCGUUAAUGUACUCAACAUAUACUCUGUAUUUAAUAAGAAUGUAGCCUCAUGAUGUAAAGAUUUGUGAAUAGAAACAUUUUUCAAAAGAACUGUCAUGCACCUACGAAGUCCAACUGUAAUAAAUCAGUAUGAGACUUACAUUUUUGAACUUAUGUACACGGACUCAUUCCAUUAACGUCAAUUGUCCAUCACAAGACUAAGGAUCAAAUUUUUAACUGAGUUAAUCAUCUACCUCCCAGUAAUUUUAGUGAACUUAGAUUAUUAAAUAAUUUUUAAAGGCCACUAGUUCUUAUGUUUUGAAUACAUUAUUAUGAAUAAAAUAUUUAUUGCUGCAGUAUUGCUAGAUACUUCCUGUUUAUAUUUUGUGUGCAAUGUACACUGAUAUUCUUUAAAGAUUUAAUUGUAAGUGCAUUUUGUGCAGAGCACUACACCACUUAGAGGUCAAUUUCUAGUGUUCAGAAAAGAGGGAAACAAACAGUCGAUGUGAAAUAAAGGUGUCAUCUGUAUGAUGCAGUGUCAGAUAUGAAAUUCAAGUGAUGUACAAGAGGGUCAGGCUUAAUUUUUCUGAAGCAGAAGAAAUGAGAGACAUUUCAUUUUUGUAGGUGAGAAGUGAAAUGUUCCUCUCUGCUCACUGAAAGAGGCAUGCUAAGGUGAAUUUUAAUUAUGACUAAAUUGUGGUAUUACUCUUUCAUACCCUGAACAUCUGUUCCCUUCAGGAAUGAUGAUUUAUGCAGGCUAUCACUGCAGACAGCUUGCUACAGCUUAUGUCACGGUUAGUAGGAAGCUGGUGGUAGAAUUUCAGAAAAUACCAGCGUCUAAGUGAAGACAGGCCAGUGUGUAUUUUUAAGGUAAUAUGGAAAGGGGAGCACGAUAUGUCCAUUUUUAAUUUUGAAGCCAAAUAUUGACUUUACAUUUUUUUUCUUUUUCUUUCAGACCAUCUGUCAUUAAUGAGGAAAGUAACUCGGAUAGUGAAUGGCCUGGUUCUUCAUAACAGUUUCAACAAAAAGAAAAUGAAGCUGUCAUUUCCAACUGCAUGUAGAAUAUUGUUGACAAGAAUUCUGACAGGUUUAUAGUGUUUAAGAACUGGAUAGGGCAGGAUAAUUCCAAGACUAUUGCAUCACAAAAUCAAAUUGAAAAGAACCUGUCUACCUUCUCCAUAAAUUCUGCUCUUAUUGAAUCUGGCAGUAUGUAUUGUUUCUUUUCUUCAUAUAAUUCUUAAAGAACUUUUGCACAUUAGAACUACUGGAGAAAGGAUGGUUAACUAGGCAGACAGGAAUCCCAUAAAAUUCAACAAAUGGAAAUGCAGAGUCCUGCAAAUGGAAAGCUGUAAUGCCAUCCACCUGGCUGGAGACCUAAACAACUGAAAGCAGCUUUUUAGGAAAGGAUUUGGGGUCCCCGUGAGCAUAAAAUUAUCUACGAGCCAACAAUGCACCCUUGAAGCAAAUGCCAGCAGCAUCCUGGGCUGUAUUUCAAGAGCAUUUGAACAGGUCAAGGGAGGCAGUUCUUCCUCUCUGUUCACCGCUACUGUGGCACAUCUGCAGUGCUGUGCCCAGCUAUGGUUUCCCCAAUACGGAAAAGAUGCAGACACACUUGAGUGGGUCUAAUGAAAGGCCACAAAGAUGAUUAAGGGACUGGAGUAUUUGUCUUAAGAGGCAAAGCUGAGAAAGCUGUGCCUGUUUAACCUCAAGAGAUGAGUCAAGGAGGUUCAUACCAGUGUGCAUAAAUAUCUGACAGUAAGAGAGUAAAGAAUAUGGAUCCAGAUUAUUCUCCAUAUUCAGUGAAUUAUCAGCAAUGGGCAUGAAUUAAAGUGCAGGAAAUUCCAUUGAAAUGUUAGAAAAGGAAUUUCUACUGUGAGGGUGGUCUUCAUAAAAUAUUUCCAUGGGAUUGAUGAAUCCCUUCCAUGUGCCACAGCUCCUUACAUUAGUGUGUGAAAGCUUCUCAAUGUCAAUUGUGAGCUAAGAAAACCA
rnacentral:lncRNA from 1 species